AAUUACUAUCCAAAAUCUCCCCCAAACUCCAAAGGAUUCGACCGGAAUAAACCCGCAAAGUCGGCAUCCCAAAAAGGCGAAAAUCUGGGAUGCCAAAUUUGUGAGUUUAUUCCGACCGAAUCCUUUGGAAUUUUGGGGAGAUUUUGGAUUCUAAUU
rnacentral:miRNA from 1 species